rnacentral:rRNA from 1 species
UACGUAGGGUCCGAGCGUUGUCCGGAAUUAUUGGGCGUAAAGGGCUCGUAGGCGGUUCGUCACGUCGGGAGUGAAAACUCGGGGCUUAACCCCGAGCCUGCUUCCGAUACGGGCAGACUAGAGGUAGGCAGGGGAGAGCGGAACUCCUGGUGUAGCGGUGGAAUGCGCAGAUAUCAGGAAGAACACCGGUGGCGAAGGCGGCUCUCUGGGCCUUACCUGACGCUGAGGGGCGAAAGCGUGGGUAGCGAACAGG